AGGCCGGUGUGCUCAGUCAGUUGAGUGUGGCGCUAACAGCGCUAAGGUCAUGGGUUCGAUUCCUGUCCGGUCCC
rnacentral:tRNA from 1 species